rnacentral:rRNA from 1 species
GACGUAGGGCGCGAGCGUUGUCCGGAUUUAUUGGGCGUAAAGAGCUCGUAGGCGGCUUGUCGCGUCGACCGUGAAAACUCGCAGCUCAACUGGGGAGGGUCAUUCGAUACUGAUCGACUCGAAGGCAGGAGAGGGUAGUGGAAUUCCCGGUGUAGUGGUGAAAUGCGUAGAUACCGGGAGGAACACCAGUGGCGAAGGCAGGUCUCUGGGCCACUACUGACGCUGAGAAGCGAAAGCAUGGGGAGCGAACAGG